rnacentral:lncRNA from 10 species
AAUUAAGAUGUUACCACUAAAUACAGUGUCUCUCAUGUUUAAAAUCAUUCAAGUCUUUCUUGCAGGAAGAUUUAAGCUUCAUCAGACACUCAUGGGAUGAGGACUGAGGUAUGAAAUCUACAUGUUUUCUGACCAGAACACAUCCAACAUGGCCUAAAGAUUAUCUUACUCUUCUAAAUUAAGAUCAAAUAGAUUUAGAGUAACUUACUGUAGCAGGGUUCUUAGAUUUGUAUUUUAUACAGACGAAUCAAGAAACCAUUCUACUAAUAUAAAAUAUCAGUAGUUAUGAAAAUUAUUUUCAACCAAAUAAAAACAAAUUUUAAAAGAAAAGUUCAAAGGAAAUGUAACAAAAUCAUUUUCCUAUAUCUGUUUUGGUUCAAAUUAGUUCCCAAAAACUGUCUCCCUCCUAGUCAAAGAUGUUAAAAAACAGCAUAUAAUGACUUACAUUUAAACUAAAAUUAAGGUGGGAAAAUAUAAUUUUAAAUAAGUUUAAACGAGUCAAAGACAAAUGUUCUAAAUUUGAAAAAAGUUAGACAAUAAAGCUAAAUUAACCUAACAUUUCUGAAUGCUUACCUAAACCACGUUAAUUCUAUACGAAACAGCCUUACUUACAAAAUAGUUACCCAUAAAUACAAGUAAUAAGAGGAUAGAUUACAACCUAAAUAUUUUUAAAUGGUAACGUACAACCCCAUUGAUCUAGAUGAGAGGUCAGGAAACUUUUUCCAUGAAGAGCCAGUUCGUAAACAUAUCGGAUUUUGUGGGUUAUACAAUCUCUGUUACAACUAUUCAACUCUGCCAUCAUAGCAUGAAAGCAGCCAUACACAAUCUGCAAAUGAGUAAGAGUGGCUGUUUUCCAGUAAAACUUUAUUUACAAAAACAGGCUAUCAGCUGUAGUUUGCUGACCACUGAUCUAAUCCUUAGUAUUUUGAAAGAAAAAAAAUACCCAACAUCACACUGUUGUUUUAAUUUAAAGACCAAUCUCUGUCAUUCAGCAUUUAUGAAAUACUAGUUUUACUAAACAUUAUAUGGAUUUUCUAAACUCAGUUCUCCACCUAAAUUUUUCAUUGGAACUCCAAGCUUCAGAACAAUGAAUGAGAACAUCUGUUGCAUUUAAGUAAUAAAAUCUUGCAGAUUGCCAAUCCAAAUGGCAGGUGCGGUGGCUCACACUUAUAGUCCCAGCACUUUGGGAGGCUGAGGUAGGUGGAUCACUUGAGGUCAGGAGUUUGAGAUCAGCCUGGCCAACAUGGUGAAACGCCAUCUCUACUAAAAAAAAAAAUACAAUAAUUAGCCAGGCAUGGUGGCAUACACCUGUAGUCCCAGCUACUCAGGAGGCUAAGGGAGGAGAAUCACUUGAACCUAGGAGGCAAAGGCUGCAGUGAGCUGAGAUCAUACCCCUGCACUCCAGCAUGGGCAACAGAGUGAGACUCCAUUUUGAAAAAAGGUAAAAAAAGGAAAAUGUACUAGUUAAUAGAAGUUUCAACUGGAGCAACAAUACUUAUGAAUGCAUACAUUUAAAGGUCAGAUUUAUUUGCUAUGUACCAAGUAAAACCAAAAAAGUCACAUUCAUAUAGCAUCUCAUUAAUUGUAAACACAAUACGAAAAAUGUUUAAAUACUAGUUAAAAUACAGUGUGUAUGAUACUAGCUAUAAAAAAAUUAAUUCCCUACAAAUUUAAAAUACAAUCUAUUUACAACUAAAUGCUACCACUUUCUCCACUCUUCUUGGUACCAAGUAACCCCUAAAAUUGAGAGGUGGCUUAGCAAACUGCGUCAACAUGCCACAGACAAGGCACAGCUCUGAAUUCUAGACAUAAAUUAGUGAACUCAAUACAACUUUUAUAAACAUUUAUGUAAAUUUUGCUAGCUUUCCUUACUAGCCAAAUAUGUAUUCCUUCGCUAAGAGACAAAAAGAAAUAAAAUAUUUGGGUAUUUUUUAAUAUUAAAAUAAUGAAAUUAGCCAGGCAUAGUGGCACGCGCCUGUAAUCCCAGCUACUCAGAAGGCUGAGGCAGGAGAAUCACUUGAACACGGGAGGCGGAUGUUGCAGUAAGUCAAGAUCGCACCACUGCACUCCAGCCUGGGAGACAGAGAGAGACUUGUCUCAAAAAACAAACAAAUAAAUAAAAUUUUAAAAUGCUAUGUGACAAAACAUUUGGCAUGCUGGGUAUUCAGGCUCACAAUCAUUUUCGAAAUUAUUUUCCAAAUUGAGUUUCUAUUUUUCU